rnacentral:rRNA from 1 species
AACGAACGCUGGCGGCAGGCUUAACACAUGCAAGUCGAGCGCCCCGCAAGGGGAGCGGCAGACGGGUGAGUAACGCGUGGGAAUCUACCCAGCUCUACGGAACAACUCCGGGAAACUGGAGCUAAUACCGUAUACGUCCCUCGGGAGAAAGAUUUAUCGGAGUUGGAUGAGCCCGCGUUGGAUUAGCUAGUUGGUGGGGUAAUGGCCUACCAAGGCGACGAUCCAUAGCUGGUCUGAGAGGAUGAUCAGCCACACUGGGACUGAGACACGGCCCAGACUCCUACGGGAGGCAGCAGUGGGGAAUAUUGGACAAUGGGCGAAAGCCUGAUCCAGCCAUGCCGCGUGAGUGAUGAAGGCCCUAGGGUUGUAAAGCUCUUUCACCGGUGAAGAUAAUGACGGUAACCGGAGAAGAAGCCCCGGCUAACUUCGUGCCAGCCGCCGCCGUAAGAC